rnacentral:snRNA from 1 species
GUGCUCGCUUCAGCAGCACACAUACUAAAAUUGGAAUGAUACAGAGAAGAUUAGCAUGGCCCCUGCGCAAGGAUGAUACGCAAAUUCGUGAAGCGUUCUAUAUUUAA